ACUUAAAUUGAAGAGUUUGAUCAUGGCUCAGAUUGAACGCUGGCGGCAGGCCUAACACAUGCAAGUCGAACGGUAGCACAGAGGAGCUUGCUCCUUGGGUGACGAGUGGCGGACGGGUGAGUAAUGUCUGGGAAACUGCCCGAUGGAGGGGGAUAACUACUGGAAACGGUAGCUAAUACCGCAUAACGUCGCAAGACCAAAGAGGGGGACCUUCGGGCCUCUUGCCAUCGGAUGUGCCCAGAUGGGAUUAGCUAGUAGGUGGGGUAACGGCUCACCUAGGCGACGAUCCCUAGC
rnacentral:rRNA from 1 species